GGAAUAUUGGACAAUGGGCGAAAGCCUGAUCCAGCCACGCCGCGUGAGUGAUGAAGGCCCUCGGGUCGUAAAGCUCUGUGGGGAGGGACGAACCCUCUGGAGUGAAUAGCUCUGGCGCUGACGGUACCUCCUUAGCAAGCACCGGCUAACUCCGUGCCAGCAGCCGCGGUAAUACGGCGGGUGCAAACGUUGCUCGGAAUCAUUGGGCGUAAAGCGCACGUAGGCGGUCCGUUAAGUCGGAUGUGAAAGCCCUCGGCUCAACCGAGGAAGUGCAUUCGAAACUGGCGGACUUGAGUACGGGAGGGGGCUGCGGAAUUCCCGGUGUAGAGGUGAAAUUCGUAGAUAUCGGGAGGAACACCAGUGGCGAAGGCGGCAGCCUGGACCGAUACUGACGCUGAGGUGCGAAAGCGUGGGGAGCAAAC
rnacentral:rRNA from 1 species